rnacentral:rRNA from 1 species
ACUGAACGCUGGCGGCAUGCCUUACACAUGCAAGUCGAACGGUAACGCGGGGCAACCUGGCGACGAGUGGCGAACGGGUGAGUAAUGUAUCGGAACGUGCCCAGUUGUGGGGGAUAACUGCUCGAAAGAGCAGCUAAUACCGCAUACGACCUGAGGGUGAAAGCGGGGGAUCGCAAGACCUCGCGCAAUUGGAGCGGCCGAUACCAGAUUAGGUAGUUGGUGGGGUAAAGGCCCACCAAGCCAACGAUCUGUAGCUGGUCUGAGAGGACGACCAGCCACACUGGGACUGAGACACGGCCCAGACUCCAACGGGAGGCAGCAGUGGGGAAUUUUGGACAAUGGACGCAAGUCUGAUCCAGCCAUGCCGCGUGCGGGAAGAAGGCCUUCGGGUUGUAAACCGCUUUUGUCAGGGAAGAAACGCUCUGGGUUAAUACCUCGGGGUAAUGACGGUACCUGAAGAAUAAGCACCGGCUAACUACGUGCCAGCCGCCGCAGUAACAC